rnacentral:rRNA from 1 species
UACGAAGGGUGCAAGCGUUACUCGGAAUUACUGGGCGUAAAGCGCGCGCAGGCGGUCCUUUAAGUCUGAUGUGAAAUCUCGCGGCUCAACCGCGAGCGGUCAUUGGAAACUGGGGGACUUGAGUGCAGAAGAGGAAAGCGGAAUUCCACGUGUAGCGGUGAAAUGCGUAGAGAUGUGGAGGAACACCAGUGGCGAAGGCGGCUUUCUGGUCUGUAACUGACGCUGAGGCGCGAAAGCGUGGGGAGCAAACAGG